CCGUCCGCUCGCUGCAAGCCACACGCAGAGGCCGAUUUGGACACACCUUUAUCCCCAUUAAACCAGCACCACGUGACUCAAUUAACGCAAAAGAUGAGAGAAGGGGCGACCAGCUGGCUCCAAUGUCGGAGGUCAGCGGACGUCUUCUCUAAGCCAUUAACCCAAAUCCCAGUUGGCAGGACAACAGAAACGUUCGCUCACCUUUCAGCUCAAUAAAAGAGAACUUCUUACUC